CCCGCUGAAUUUCUCACCCACCGACAUCUGCACAGACCCAGGCCACCACCUGUCACACUGCUGCCCAGCCCACUCCCCUCCAACACACACCGGUCCCUCCGCUCGCGGCUCCCCCUCCCCUAAUACCUGGAGCCGCCCACGCCGCCGAGCCCGUGGUUAAUAAUUGGCCACAGUCACACAGACAUUAAGUGACAGACUCAGGAUAACACAGGUCAGAGAAGUGUCAAGCAGGGAGGAAGCAGUGCUAAUCUUCACACUUGGGUCCUAAACUUACCACAAAGAUAUUUCCUGCGUUUCUACCCCAUAGCGGAGCAAACAGAGAAGGUGUUAAAGGAAACAACAUGAAGCUUUGGCCCUUAAAUUUCAACCCAACAUUGUGAAUGCAAUUUUGUGUUUUGUGAAUAGGACUUCAAAAGGAAAACUAGAAGAUUUUAAGAAGAGAAGGAAAGGAGGAGGAGCUGCAAAGAUAAGAGAAAGCAGUGGAGGGAAAGGGAGAGCGGAGAGGACAGAGCGGAACCGAAUAUUUUCUGCACGGCUCAGGGAAGAGCCUCGAGCCUGCCCGACCGACCUGUGCAUUCUGGGGAUCCCAGAAUAAGAUCAACGGAACGAGUAUUUAUGGAAUGACUGAGGAGCAGGUCACUUAAUAUGCAUCGGCUGCAUAAAUGCCUGAGAGAGGAAAACAGAAGUGAGUGAGCCAAAGCAGAGAGUCCCAGCUUGUUCAUUUCCGCAGAGAAGUAACAGUGCCUGAGUACCUGGAAUGCUCGGGUCUUCAGAGCUGGGACAGGCGGGAGCUUUGAAUCCACGGCCUGGUGUCAUUUCACAAAAGCGGAAAACUGUGGGAAAUACCAUCCCGUGCAUUUUACGGGAGGAAACGGGUUGGGACAGUUGAUGGAAGCG
rnacentral:lncRNA from 1 species